rnacentral:rRNA from 1 species
AAACGUUUGUGCUGUCCUGUUGCUUUCGGCCGGCGGCUCUUUUGGAGCCCGCAAGGUCCUUGGCGCUUCGGCGCGAGGGGCACCGGCCGGGGGUGGCAGCUCGGCAGUUUGUUUUAAACGCUUGCCUGAUAUUGUGGCUCGUCUGAGCAAAAAGAAAAGACAAAAUAGUCAAAACUUUCAACAACGGAUCUCUUGGUUCUGGCAUCGAUGAAGAACA